GCUCCUAUAGCUCAGUUGGCAGAGCGUGCGGCUGUUAACCGCAAGGUCGUUGGUUCGAACCCAACUGGGAGCG
rnacentral:tRNA from 1 species